GUAGGUGGCAAGCGUUGUCCGGAAUUAUUGGGCGUAAAGCGCGCGCAGGCGGUUCUUUAAGUCUGAUGUGAAAGCCCACGGCUCAACCGUGGAGGGUCAUUGGAAACUGGAGAACUCGAGUACAGAAGAGGAAAGCGGAAUUCCACGUGUAGCGGUGAAAUGCGUAGAGAUGUGGAGGAACACCAGUGGCGAAGGCGGCUUUCUGGUCUGUAACUGACGCUGAGGCGCGAAAGCGUGGGGAGCAAACAGGAUUAGAUACCCUGGUAGUCCACGCCGUAAACGAUGAGUGCUAAGUGUUAGGGGGGUUUCCGCCCCCCUUAGUGCUGCAGCUAACGCAUUAAGCACUCCGCCUGGGAGUACGGCCGCAAGGCUG
rnacentral:rRNA from 1 species